GGCAAGCCCGCAUUAGCGAUAGUAACGGCAUCCUUUUUUGUGUGCGCUUAUGCACAAAAAAGAUAUAGUGAAUAGCGCGACCUUUU
rnacentral:sRNA from 1 species